GAUGAACGCUGGCGGCGUGCUUAACACAUGCAAGUCGAACGGUGAAGCAGGAGCUUUCUCUUGUGGAUCAGUGGCGAACGGGUGAGUAACACGUGAGCAACCUGCCCCUGACUCUGGGAUAAGCGCUGGAAACGGCGCCUAAUACUGGAUAUGUGCUGUGGCCGCAUGGUCUGCAUCUGGAAAGAAUUUCGGUUGGGGAUGGGCUCGCGGCCUAUCAGCUUGUUGGUGAGGUAAUGGCUCACCAAGGCGUCGACGGGUAGCCGGCCUGAGAGGGUGACCGGCCAAACUGGGACUGAGACACGGCCCAGACUCCUACGGGAGGCAGCAGUGGGAAAUAUUGCACAAUGGGCGGAAGCCUGAUGCAGCAACGCCGCGUGAGGGAUGACGGCCUUCGGGUUGUAAACCUCUUUUAGCAGGGAAGAAGCGAAAGUGACGGUACCUGCAGAAAAAGCACCGGCUAACUACGUGCCAGCCGCCGCCGUAA
rnacentral:rRNA from 1 species